GAGGUCCUAGCUUAAUUAAAGCGUCUGAGUUGCAUCCAGGAGAUGUGGGGUAAUGUCCUACGGACCUUA
rnacentral:tRNA from 1 species